GUUGGCUCACUCCUCCGCCCUGCCUGUCACACCCUGGUACUCCCCUCAAGUGCCAGCCAAGCCCUCCUCAAGUGGCAGGGACUUGAUUGACAUGGCUGAGGGGGAGGGGUGGAGGGUGACUGCAGUGAGGACCCCUCCUUCCUGGCCUCUAGCUCUAUUUUGAUAUUCGGUCUUCUCUCAGUCUCUCCCUGCUCUGUUCCCAUCUCUCUGAUUCUCUGGGCCUCCCAUGGUCACAGUCUCCCUUUCUUCCCACAGAGCACUUGUCCUGGGGUCCCCUGGUACCCUGUGGAGAUCGUGGUGGAGGAUGUGGGAUGACAAAGAGGAGAGGCAAUGGGCCAGAGUGUCUCAAGGCACUCUGAGGAGAGACAGAGGUGGAACAGGACAGACCCACGGACCCUGAGAGGAGACAGACAUGCAGACUUCCAGACCUUCAGGGAGAAAGACUUCCUCCCACCUCGGGGACGAAUAUACUGACACACCACUCCCAGGGACAGAGACAUGGACCACAGACACCUAGACCCUCAAAGAAGGCAAACAGAUUCCCAGAGGGACAGGCUCCCUCCAACCACACCGGAAAGAGAAGCAAAUAAACCUUCAGAGGGGACACGUGGGUCCUCAGAGAGACGGAUGAACAGAGCGCGUGUCCCCUCCACGCAGGGAUAGAAGCAGACCCUGGAGAGAGUGACCAUGAGCUUCCAAAGGGGGGGCAGACAGACUGUCCACAGGGACAGACCCACAGGAAGACUCUCCCAACCCCCUCAACAGGGACAGAUAAAUAAAACAUCAGAGAGGACCA